GAUGAACGCUGGCGGCGUGCCUAAUACAUGCAAGUCGAGCGAACAGACGAGGAGCUUGCUCCUCUGACGUUAGCGGCGGACGGGUGAGUAACACGUGGAUAACCUACCUAUAAGACUGGGAUAACUUCGGGAAACCGGAGCUAAUACCGGAUAAUAUAUUGAACCGCAUGGUUCAAUAGUGAAAGACGGUUUUGCUGUCACUUAUAGAUGGAUCCGCGCCGCAUUAGUUAGUUGGUAAGGUAACGGCUUACCAAGGCGACGAUGCGUAGCCGACCUGAGAGGGUGAUCGGCCACACUGGAACUGAGACACGGUCCAGACUCCUACGGGAGGCAGAAGUAGGGAAUCUUCCGCAAUGGGCGAAAGCCUGACGGAGCAACGCCGCGUGGGUGAUGAAGGUCUUCGGAUCGUAAAACUCUUUUAUUAGGGAAGAACAAAUGUGUAAGUAACUAUGCACGUCUUGACGGUACCUAAUCAGAAAGCCACGGCUAACUACGUG
rnacentral:rRNA from 1 species